rnacentral:sRNA from 14 species
AUUUUUUAAAAUCUUUGGAUAAAAAAUAAUUGUAAACAAAAACUUCAUAUUCAGAAGUUCAACAACGGUAUAACAUCAGCGAUGCAAGUGCAAAAAGGCGGUGAAAUUGGCCGGUUUUUUGCUGGGUACGAUUGGCGGUUAAAGGCUUUUCGCAUACUCAGGGUGUUGCAGAUUGUCGUUAAAACUUACAACAAAACGGGCUAAUCAGGUAGA